AUAUGCCAUUCUGCAUCAAUGCUGUUAAUAUUUAACACUACUUAAAUUGUUUUACUAUACUUUGAAGGCUCUACAUCCUUUGAGAAGCCAUGUGGUUAAUUCAUAACCUUUUAAACUUUAUGACUUUGCAUGUUUUAUAAUUUAUUGUAGUGCUUUAAAACUGGAAGCUACCUUGGGCAGCUUGGCAGAAAGGUGGUAGAUAAAGGUAAUAAAUAAAUGCACGUUUAAUUUUUAAAAAAUGAAGUAUGUGGUUGAAUCCAUUCUGUGUGUUACGUUUUAGGUCAAGAAGUUGAGAAAAAUAUUGUGGGUUGUGUUUAGCUCUAGUCUAGUGAAUCUUCAAAGAGGGUAGUUUCUGUAUCCUUCGUCCUCCUUUAGAAGGAUAUAAAUUGAUUAAUAAAUACAUAAAUAAAUAAACACAGCCACCCAGAUUUUCCGUCCAUGAGGACUAGGAACAUAUCUGAUUCUAAAAUAAAUGGCAUAAUUCUCAGGUUUCUCCAUGGAAUUCCUCUUCCUGCUGAGGGGCCAACCUACACAUUAUCCUAACUGCAUAGCAUGCAGAUGUGCUUCCUGACUUCCUUUCAGGCAUGUCCAAAGUCCGUUUUGGGGGCCUAAUCCGGCCCGCCAGUUGGUUUAAUCCAGCCCCUUUGGCAGUUUAUUUCCUGGGGUAAACUCCUAAAAAAAGCUCUACAACUUUGGUUGGCCCUUUGGUUGGCCUCCACGGCCCUUCACUUCUGGCCCUCUUUGAAAAAAGUUUGGACACCACUGGAACUUCUAAAGGGUGCCCAGGGAGGUGGGGGGAUCUGAUUUCUUUCUUUCUUUUUUGAAGGGUUCACAAUACACAGGGUGGGGAAGUUUAUAUUUUCCCUUCUCAGCUGUAACCUCUCUGAAAAAGGCCAUUCCUGCUCUGGCUACAGUUGUGGUGUGCGGGUGCCUUCUUUGGUAGCGUUGUGUGGGUGAGGGUGAAUUUUCUUUUUUUCUUUUGGAAGAGCUGAUAUCCAGCGGACAUUAAAGGAAAUUUGGAGGCAAAGCUGCACACUUCAUAGUAAAAUCAGGCUUGGCCUCAACCAUCUUUGUUUUUGUUUUUUCCUUCAGAAUUUUCUCACUCCUCCAGUUCUGCUAGUGGCUACAAUCUGUUACCAUUCAAUAACAAAAACUGCUGGGGCGGAUUGAGUUUCCUUAUUAAUGUAGGCACAAACGUUCAUCGCUCUUUCUCCCCCUCCCUCACCUUUUUAAAAAAGUGGUUUACGUAUGCAGUUUGCUAACCCAUCCAAAUGUUUUAAUGAUCACUGUUUGCAAGUAGGAUUUUUUUGGGGGGGGGUGAGACUGUAUUGUGGAGGGAGCUAUAUGCAAGUUUAGCAGCUGAUCUGUGCUUGUUAUUGCAACAGCUAGGUAGAGGUUAAUAGGUCCAUAGCAGAGCAUGCAUGGUGGCCCCAGGUUCCAGCCCAUAGCAGCUAAGUGAUGUUGGGAGACAGAGAUGCAUUGCAACCAGACCAUAUUGACUGCAGUGGGAUGGAGGCUGCCUUUGUCCCAAAGACCUGCAAAUAAGGCGAAUUGCUGUCCGCUCUCAUUUCUACAUUGAGAAGAGGUCCAUUGGUGCUUGCUUCAAAUCAAGGCACGAUUGCUUCAAAACAGAGGAUGCACCAUUUCAUGUGAUUAAAUUGAAUUGCAUUUGAUUUUUCAUUACUGUCAGGAUAAUACAUAUGUUUCCAGUUUUUCUCCUUGUUCUAGCGAUGACACUUUUUGACCUACCUUUGCAGCUAAUAUAAGGUAGGAUGGAGUUCUUUGUAGUAGAUGAGUCUCUCCCCCUCCCCGUUCCUUGUUGUUGUUUUUGCCCAAGCAUGCUGAAGGAGGUAUUCCUAAUCCCUGAACUAUUUGCACUUUCUCCCUUGACACUGGCUUUCUGCUUCCCUCAGCCAGCACUGCACAGUGCAAACUUUACACCAGUGGAGGUGCUUUCAAGUGGUAAUGGGGGAGGCACAGUCAAGAAAAUUGCUUCUAAUUUGUAGGAGAAUCUCCACUUAGACUGAAGCCCCAGCACAAAUUGAUGUUAAAAGUUAAUAAUGUUGUUUGGGUUGGAUUUAUGGUCAUUUACACAAUGAAGCCAGUCAAUAAGUGCCCACAGGCUCUCUUUUGAGUGUGAAUUGCCUAGUGCUGGGGAUAAUUGUUCGUUACCGACAACACAUUUGUAACUAAAUCUUGGGUACUUUGAGAUGCGAUGGUGGUAGGAACUAACCUGUGUCCUGAGUAUAAAAUGGCAUUGGGGAGUGUGUGAAAUGAAAUCUUCUCCCCCCAUUUAUUUUCAUCAAUAAAAAUGGGGACAUAUCCUUUCUUGUUCUUUCUCUUUGCAUGUGCCUCCCCUAGCACUGAGAAGCCUUGGCAGGUCAUCCAAAUUAACUCUCUUGUGUGCAUAGUUAAUAAAAUUAUUGGAACUGAUCAGCUGUGCCCACACCACUUUGAUUAUCCUUUCACAGUAGCCUUUCACAACCUGGUUUCCACCUUAUGUUGUUGAACCCCAAUGCCCAUAAUCCCUGACCAUUGGCCGUGCUGCCUAGUUGGUUGAGAUGGGAGUUGGAGUCCAGCAACAUGUGGAGAACAGCAGCUUCAGGAGGGCUCUUUUAAAGCAUUCUAGUAAGGGUAGGCCUAGUGAAACUGAAGGAGCAGAAGUAUUGGACACACAUGUAGGCAUUCGGCUCAAGAUCAAAGAAGGGUGUCAAACGCACAAGAAGAAAACCUUUAUCUCCUGAGUCUCCUCUGUCAAGCACAACAUUCUUGAAUGGAAAUAUGGAAUGUUCUGUGGUCUAGCAUCAUACCAUUUAGUAGAGAUAAUGCUAAGCUAGAUGGACCACUGGUCUGAUAACGGCGUAAGACAGUUAUCUCUUCCUAGCUUGCUGGUUGUUUGCACGCUCCGUUUCAGACAAGGGGUCUAAGUGGGCUGCAAAGGGGUGUGGUCACAUUGUUGCUCCACCUGUCCAGGUCUGAGCACAAUUCUGAAGGAGGUAGAUGCCUAGAAGCUAAUUAUCAGAAGUGGUGUCUGCAUCUCUUGCACCUUUGGAGCUGUUGUUAGUGAGGCUCUGCCAAUAAAGAAUUAAACUUCCCAUCACUUGUCCUUAUUGGCGCUGGAUGUGCUUGGGACAGUGUGUUUUGUGGUUCAGAACAUACACAUGGUUUUCCACCUUGCGCAUGUUAAAAGGUUGAACUGAAAUUUUUGUAAAAAUAUACUCAUUAGCCAUAUGUCCCUUAACAUCUUUUUCUAAAUGGAUCCUGUACAGCUGUUGCUGAUUAUACAGUUGGACAUUUUAAGGUAAAAACAAAGCAAAGCUAAAGUUAAAUAAUUAAGGCUGUACAAAAUAAAAACUAAAAAUAGUGAUUCUUAUUUACACAGUAGACUGUGCAUUACUUAUAUAGCAGACUGUGCAUUAACCUAACAAUUAGGAUAGCUAAAGUUACUUCUUUUUUGGGAAAAAUCUCAACAAUAACUAGAGUGGGCUGUUUUAUUGCAGUCUGCUGUUGUGCAGUUUUCCCCCUCAUGUCAGUGGUGCUUCUGUAGAUUUUGUUUGGGAAGGGAUCAAUGCAGCAGUAGUAUGUUUUGAAUGAAUUACAUUAUAAAUAGAAUAGGGUUUCCCAAACUUGGGUUUCCAGCUGUUUUUCGGACUACAACUCCCAUCAUUCCUAGCUAGCAGGAUCAGUGGUGAGGGAUGAUGGGAAUUGUAGUCCCAAACCAGUUGGAUGACCAUGUUUGGGAAACCUGAAAUAGAAAUAGGUUCCUCUUUUUUUGCCUUGUGAAUGGUUUGAGAAUGAAGUGUUGUAAAGUCAUUAGGAUUCAGCAGUGAAAUCAUAGAAAUGUAGAAUUGGGAAGGGACUACUAAGGCCAUCUAGUCCAAUCCUCUGCAAUACAGGGAUGUCUUGGGCUAACAUGGGGCUCAGUGCCAUGACCUUGACAUUAAGUGUAUCAUGCUCUGCCAACUGAGCCAGCCAUCUAACAUGGCCCUUACUGGGCGGUAAGCCACGGUUUGUCUUCGCCAAAUCCAGGCUUGUAUAUUGUCUCACUCUAAACAAACCAUGAGUUUACAACCAAGAUUUGUUAUUUGCUUACGACUCAUGGUUUGUUUGGGUGAAGCAAGCCAUGGGCCUGGGUUCUCCUUAGGUUCCAGUAGUUCAGCAGCAGAUAGUGGGGAGUUCACAGUAAACCACAGUUUGGCUAAGUGUGCCAUGCAAAUGAGGUCUGAAUAGAAGUUCUGGGCAGCAGAAGCAAUUAAGAGAGUAGCAUUAGGAGGCAGGGACUGGAAAUCAGACAGUGGCUUACCAGAGUCUUUUGCUCCUGAUGGACAUAAUCUUCUUUCUGUAUAUAUUUUGAUAACUGUAACAUUUCACUGUGUUUGAGGGAAGUGCAUAAGUUAUCCCAAGGAUAUGACAUUUUCUUACCUAAUCAAGUAACCUCGACAUAGUGAUAAUUAUGUCAUUGAUGUGGGAAAUCUAUUUUAGCUGUAUGUUUUGGUUGCAGGCUCCUUUAAAUCUUUACAUGCAAUUCAAAAAUGACUAAUUCUGCAAUGCAAAGAUACCUCAGGGCUGCUUAAGAUCUGAACAGUUCAGCAGGUGGAUGUUCUUCCUGAAGCAGAUCUUUGAAUAGAAUCAGAAACGUUCCCCAUUUCUAAUACAGAGCUGUUGGCUAAUAGGUCUGGAAGCAAAAUAGGUCAUGGCCACAUUGGAAUGUGCUUUUUUGAUUAGCUAAUCAUAGUGAUGCUGCUUUUGGUGUUUGCCUAAGAAGAACUAAGGGAUUCACCUUUCAAGCCCCAUCAGCUGAAACCCUACAAAAGGACUUCCCACUUGCACAGUGGGUCCUUACCCUAUCUCCUUCCUCCUUACCCCCUGAAGUUGGCUGGGGGCAGUGUUAGAAACUCAGAUAUAUAAGCUAGUUACCAAAUGGCACUUUAAAUCUAGGUUACAAUCACCACAAUUGGCGCCCAGAAAUCCCCAUGUAGUUGCAAUUGGACCCACACCAGUGGCAAAACGCACCUGGCGCCUGACUAAUUUCUAACACUGGCUUGGGGGCAUGCAAGGAGAGGGGGGAUCAUUCUGUCUGGCAAGCUGAGAGAACAUUAAUCUUAGUGGGACAUUGAAUUCUAGCCUAAGGGUUUUAUAGAGGUAAGGGCCACAAUCCAGGUUAGUUUGGAGUGUGGAUAUACAGAAAUAAAGUGAGGUGUUUAAUAAUAUCUUUAUAAUGGAAAAUCCACAGCCUAUGCCACAUUGUAAGCAGUUUCCAGCAACUGCAGUCUAUCACAUCAAAGAAAGAGGUGUCGUCUUUAUCUAUUUGGGCUGUGAAAAUAGUCCCUCCCCAACAGCCGUGUGCUCACAUACAUAUGGGGGUGGGGACUAGCAGGUUGUGAAUUAGCCCUAUGACAGAUGACACAGCUUAGAGAAGGCUAUUGCAUGUGUUAAAAGGAGCAUGCAUAAGGGAGAAGAGUAAGAGAACCAGAAUCUUUCUCUCUCUCCUUGAACGUUGUUUUGAGUCAUGAUAGGGCAAUCUGACUCUGCACUGCACCAAUGCGGAUUGUAUUGGCUAAGAAUUGGGUGUCUGCAGUUUAAGGAUACUGCCUGCUGGAAAGCUAAGCAGACCAUAAUGUGCAGUGGAAUUGUUCCCUCCAGAUCUGUAGAUGACACUUUCUCCCUCAUGCUUCUACUCCUGCCCUACUUGAUGAACAAGUGAGCAUCACCCACUGAAAAUAAGUGGGCAUUUAUUCUGCUCAACUUGAUUAGUAAUCCGUAAGCGACUGUUUUGAAGUAAUCUUUGGGUCUCCGGGCAUUUGUGUUGUUUUUCUGUUUAAGAAAGCUGCACAACACAGAUGUUAGCAGCCAAACGAGUUAUUAGCUGUGGGGUGUUGUUGAUGUUUCAGGCCAUUUGGGAAUUGCUGUGACAUAGACUCCUUCUUCUUCUUCUUCUUGCAACGGCACUUUAAUUUUUCUGUUUUGUAUAUCACAUGACAAUUUAUUUAUCUUCCUCAUUGUUUCUGUAGGAUGGUCACUGCUAUCUGAAAUUAUAAGUACCCAGGACAGAAUUUAUAAAGAACAGGUGUUGAGAGAGGAAGGUAGGGAGGCCUGAAUUUAGGCUAAUUGCCUCCUGGGCCCUGAAGAGGAAAAAAGGACCACCUUAUUCUCACCUUGUGGUGGGAGGGAAAGCAGCUGUUUCCAUGGCACUCACUUUAGCAGGCAGGGCAAAUAGCUUCUGACUGGCAAUGUUCCACCUCAUUUGGAAUAGGAAAUGCCUCUGUUGGGGAUGUAGAGACAGUAGUGUGUUGAAUGUAAUGGGCCUUCUUCUCCAGAGACUAGGAGGGGAGGGGAGGAAAACAAAGAUGUCUGACAGUAUCAAAGCUGGAACAAGACUCAGGGUGGCAUAUCCCCAUCAGUCCUGAGAGCUUGCUGUGGGGCAAGAAGGUAUUGACUUCUGUGGGUUGAAAGCAAAGCUGGAUCUUGGAGUCCCAAGGAUUGAGCCCAAAGGUGUGGGAAGUGAAAAAUUCAUAGAAAACUUUGCUCUUAUAGCCAACCUGGAGUCGGUUAGGUCACAUUUGAAAAUGCCUGAGAUUGUUUGCAAUUUUCUGAAUCCUCCACUUAUAAAUGAGUGGAUUUGAGGAGCUGGAGUAGAUGACUUUUUAUAUCUCUUCUGGGGUGUUUUCUGUUAUUCAUCGAAAAUUAUUUCAG